rnacentral:rRNA from 1 species
GAUGAACGCUGGCGGCGUGCCUAAUACAUGCAAGUCGAGCGAACAGACGAGGAGCUUGCUCCUCUGACGUUUGCGGCGGACGGGUGUGUAACACGUGUAUAACCUACCUAUAAGACUGGGAUAACUUCGGGAAACCGGAGCUAAUCCCGGAUAAUCUAUUGAACCGCAUGGUUCAAUAGUGAAAUACGGUUUUGCUGUCUGUUAUCGAUGGAUCCGCGCCGCAUUAGCUAGUUGGUAAGGUAACGGCUUACCAAGGCAACGAUGCGUAGCCGACCUGAGAGGGUGAUCGGCCACACUGGAACUGAGACACGGUCCAGACUCCUACGGGAGGCAGCAGUAGGGAAUCUUCCGCAAUGGGCGAAAGCUUGACGGAGCAACGCCGCGUGAGUGAUGAAGGUCUUCGGAUCGUAAAACUCUGUUAUUAGGGAAGAACAAAUGUGUAAGUAACUAUGCUCGUCUUGACGGUACCUAAUCAGAAAGCCACGGCUAACUACGUG